rnacentral:rRNA from 1 species
AACGACUCUCGGCAACGGAUAUCUCGGCUCUCGCAUCGAUGAAGAACGUAGCGAAAUGCGAUACUUGGUGUGAAUUGCAGAAUCCCGUGAACCAUCGAGUUUUUGAACGCAAGUUGCGCCCCAAGCCUUUUGGCCGAGGGCACGUCUGUCUGGGUGUCACA